UUAUUUUGGUUGUGAUUAAUCACCAAUCGUUUGACAGCACUAAUUUAAAUAAAUAAAAAAUGUAAUGCAUCUUUUUGCUCUGGUGUCUUAGACAUGCGAUUGAAGUGAACAAGAGAGACUACCGAGCCUGGUACGGACUCGGACAGACCUACGGGAUCCUCAAAAUGACCUUCUACUCGCUCUACUACUACUGUGUGUGUGUGUGUGUGUGUGUGUGUGUGUGUGUGUGAUGGUUUCAGGCCUAAUUAGAACGAACAUUCGGUGAAUGUUACAGAAACUGUCUCAGCAAGUGGAGGCCAAAAAGGUAAACCGGUGACUAUUAUACUGUAGCACUGAAACAGAGACUGAAUGUGUGUAGUGCUGCUGACGCUCUGCUCUGACGGCUUCGGUGUUACUGGAGGGUGUAUUCGGUCGGAGAUGUGGAGAGGAUGGCUCUUCUGAAGCUGGCCAAGUGAGUGUGUGUUCUUCAGGAGUGUGUUGUGUGAGAGCAGAUGUGUGUGUUUCUAGGCUUCACAAGCAGCUGAAUGAAUCUGGCGACGCUGCAGUGCUACAUCAUCUACAUCCGGGAUAUUUUCUCGUGUGGGGAGCAGCUGGAGCACGCGGAGGUCAGCACCGCUCUCAGGUAUCUGGGUCAGUAUUACUUCAAGAACAGACUGUACGACGAGGCGUGUCGAUUAUAACGACGCGCGAGAGGAAGGCAAGGCUUUGUUGAGACAGAUCUCUGCGGUUCGAGAGCCCAACUCUACCCUGCGUCUUCAACCCGCUGUCCAACACCACCACACCGGUCUCCCCUCGACCUGUCCUCCAUCACACCCUGACACACAAACACGUUCAUGUCACACUGUAAAUAACGCUUUGUACAGACAACGAUGAGUGUCAUAGCAAAUAAACUGAAGAAGCUUUGACAGUGGAGUGUUUUAUUACAUACACACUCAUUUUAGUUUGGAUUAUACAGUGGAAAGACAUUCAAAAGUGACAAACAAACAUCUCUAACCUUCCAAAACUAAUGCAAAAUGUGCAAAAGAGGAGCCAGAGCAAGAAUGUAGUGAUAUAAUCUGCAUUAGGAAACUUACACACACGCCAAAGAAAAA